AUUGAACGCUGGCGGCGCGCCUAACACAUGCAAGUCGAGCGGAAAGGCCCUUCGGGGUAUUCGAGCGGCGGACGGCUGAGUAACGCGUGGGAACAUGCCCCAAAGUGAGGAAUAACUGCCCGAAAGGGUAGCUAAUACAGCAUAUGAUCUUCGGAUUAAAGGAUUUAUCCGCUUUGGGAGUGGCCCGCGUACGAUUAGGUAGUUGGUGAGGUAAAGGCUCACCAAGCCUACGAUCGUUAACUGGUCUGAGAGGAUGAUCAGUCAGACUGGAACUGCGACACGGUCCAGACUCCUACGGGAGGCAGCAGUGAGGAAUCUUCCACAAUGGGCGAAAGCCUGAUGGAGCGACGCCGCGUGCAGGAUGAAGGCCUUCGGGUUGUAAACUGCUUUUAUAAGUGAAGAAUAUGACGGUAACUUAUGAAUAAGCACCGGCUAACUACGUGCCAGCCGCCGCCGUAAUAC
rnacentral:rRNA from 1 species